rnacentral:rRNA from 1 species
GACAGAGGGUGCAAACGUUGCUCGGAAUCACUGGGCGUAAAGGGCGUGUAGGCGGAUCGGCAAGUCGGGCGUGAAAUCCCCAGGCUCAACCUGGGAACUGCACUCGAAACUGCCUUUCUUGAGUACCGGAGAGGAAAGCGGAAUACCUGGUGUAGAGGUGAAAUUCGUAGAUAUCAGGUGGAACACCAGUGGCGAAGGCGGCUUUCUGGACGGUAACUGACGCUGAGACGCGAAAGCGUGGGGAGCAAACAGG